AUGCAGCAGCCUGCAAAUUCACCUGAUAUGAAUGCCCUGGAUCUUUGCUUCUUCAGCUCAAUUCAGUCCUUGACACUUGAAAGUGCACCAAACAACAUCAAGGAACUGAUAGAAUCAGUUGAAGAAGCAUAUGAUAAGUAUGAAGUGCACAAACUAGCGAGAGUGUUUAUAACCCUACAGUUAGUCCUGAUUGAGGUUAUGAGGGUUGAGGGAGGUACAGGAUACAAGAUCCCGCACAUGAACAAAGAUAGGCUGGAGAGGGAGGGGAUGCUACAUAUCAAUCUAAGAUUCGAUGCUGAACUAUAUUGGAAAACCUUGGACAUUAUAGAGGGUCACUGA
rnacentral:rRNA from 1 species